rnacentral:tRNA from 1 species
ACUGAGAUGGCUGAGUGGUUAAGGCGUUGGACUUAAGAUUCAAUGGACUAAUUAAUGCCCACAUGGUUCGAACCCCAUUCUCGGUA